rnacentral:rRNA from 1 species
GUGGGGAAUAUUGGACAAUGGGGGGAACCCUGAUCCAGCCAUGCCGCGUGUGUGAAGAAGGCCUUUUGGUUGUAAAGCACUUUAAGCGAGGAGGAGGCUACCGAGAUUAAUACUCUUGGAUAGUGGACGUUACUCGCAGAAUAAGCACCGGCUAACUCUGUGCCAGCAGCCGCGGUAAUACAGAGGGUGCAAGCGUUAAUCGGAUUUACUGGGCGUAAAGCGCGCGUAGGUGGCCAAUUAAGUCAAAUGUGAAAUCCCCGAGCUUAACUUGGGAAUUGCAUUAGAUACUGGUUGGCUAGAGUAUGGGAGAGGAUGGUAGAAUUCCAGGUGUAGCGGUGAAAUGCGUAGAGAUCUGGAGGAAUACCGAUGGCGAAGGCAGCUAUCUGGCCUAAUACUGACACUGAGGUGCGAAAGCAUGGGGAGCAAACAGGAUUAGAAACCCCAGUAGUCC